rnacentral:rRNA from 1 species
GACGAACCGUGCGAACGUUGUUCGGAAUUACUGGGCGUAAAGGGCGCGUAGGCGGCCUUUCAAGUGACGGGUGAAAUCCCUCGGCUUAACCGAGGAACUGCCUGUCAGACUGGAAGGCUUGAGACCGGGAGAGGUGAGUGGAAUUCCCAGUGUAGCGGUGAAAUGCGUAGAUAUCGGGAGGAACACCAAUGGCGAAGGCAGCUCGCUGGGACGGUACUGACGCUGAGACGCGAAAGCGUGGGGAGCAAACAGGG